UACGAAGGGGGCUAGCGUUGCUCGGAAUUACUGGGCGUAAAGCGCACGUAGGCGGUCUUUUAAGUCGGGGGUGAAAUCCUGGAGCUCAACUCCAGAACUGCCUUCGAUACUGGAAGACUUGAGUCCGGGAGAGGUGAGUGGAACUGCGAGUGUAGAGGUGAAAUUCGUAGAUAUUCGCAAGAACACCAGUGGCGAAGGCGGCUCACUGGCCCGGUACUGACGCUGAGGUGCGAAAGCUGGGGGAGCAAACCGG
rnacentral:rRNA from 1 species